rnacentral:rRNA from 1 species
UACGGGGGGAGCAAGCGUUGUUCGGAUUUACUGGGCGUAAAGGGCGCGUAGGCGGUCAGCACAAGUCAGUUGUGAAAUCUCCGGGCUUAACUCGGAAAGGUCAACUGAUACUGUGCGACUAGAGUGCAGAAGGGGCGAGUGGAAUUCCUGGUGUAGCGGUGAAAUGCGCAGAUAUCAGGAGGAACACCAAUGGCGAAGGCAGCUCGCUGGAACGGUACUGACGCUGAGGCGCGAAAGCGUGGGGAGCGAACAGG